ensembl:misc_RNA Y_RNA Y RNA
GGCUGGUUCGAGUGCAGUGAGUGGGGUCUAUAACUAACUGACCACAAUCAGUUACAGAUGCCUUAGUUCCUUCUCCACUCCCACUGCCCACUGGACUGACCUAAA